AUCCUGGCUCAGGAUGAACGCUAGCUACAGGCUUAACACAUGCAAGUCGAGGGGAAACGAUAUUGGAAGCUUGCUUCUGAUAGGCGUCGACCGGCGCACGGGUGAGUAACGCGUAUCCAACCUGCCCAUCACUUGGGGAUAACCUUGCGAAAGUAAGACUAAUACCCAAUGACGUCUCUAGAAGACAUCUGAAAGAGAUUAAAGAUUUAUCGGUGAUGGAUGGGGAUGCGUCUGAUUAGCUUGUUGGCGGGUAACGGCCCACCAAGGCGACGAUCAGUAGGGGUUCUGAGAGGAAGGUCCCCCACAUUGGAACUGAGACACGGUCCAAACUCCUACGGGAGGCAGCAGUGAGGAAUAUUGGUCAAUGGACGAGAGUCUGAACCAGCCAAGUAGCGUGCAGGAUGACGGCCCUAUGGGUUGUAAACUGCUUUUAUAAGGGAAUAAAGUGGGAGUCGUGACUCUUUUUGCAUGUACCUUAUGAAUAAGGACCGGCUAAUUCCGUG
rnacentral:rRNA from 1 species